rnacentral:snoRNA from 1 species
GUUCAUGAUGAAAACCUUACUCAGCUCACUCAGAGUCUACAAUGCUGAUAAAUAGUUCCUAAAACAUUCAUCAAAAUAUCUGAACAGAAC